rnacentral:rRNA from 1 species
CAGUCGCCGCGGGAAUACGUAGGGGGCGAGCGUUGUCCGAAGUUACUGGGCGUAAAGAGCGCGUAGGCUGGUCUUUAAGUGAGUGGUGAAAGGUUCGGGCUCAACCCGGACACUGCCUUUCAUACUGGGGACCUUGAGUAGCGGAGAGGAAGGGGGAACGACACGUGUAGCGGUGAAAUGCGUUGAUGUGUGUCGGAACACCCAUGGCGAAAGCACCCUUCUGGACGCAAACUGACGCUCAGGUUCGAAAGCCAAGGUAGCGAACAGGAUUAGAUACCCCUGUAGUCCCUGUCUCUUAUAC